UUAGACUUUCAGCCUGGCAUUUACCUCCUUCUCCCCACCAAGCCCCAUGCCCUCCAAGGCACCUCAGAGUCCACUUGGGGAGCGGGGCUGCCUGGGAGUAGGGCUCCCAUAGGUCACCCUCUGUCACUCCCAGCUCCGGUUCCUUGGGAUUCACCUCUAGACAACUGUCUUUCAAAAGAAUGUUUUCUGGCAGUUCCUUACUGCCUUGUCCAAGGAAGUGUCCUUAUAUUUAUAUUUGUACAGGGUUUUGCUUUUGUGAGUGCUUUUACAUCCAGCCUCUCACUUAAUCCUUGUAACUCUGCUGGUGAGGGCAGAGCUCUUGGUCAGUACGGGCGAGAUGGAAGUGGCCACCCCAGAGCUGGAAGGUUAUCCCCUCCAACCACCUGGUUUGAGGAAACUGAAGUCAGAGAAGGCAUACUAUGAAGUUCAAAGUUCGAAAGUGACCAAAGCUCUGGUCAGUGCUAUAUCUCAUCAAACAGAGAGUUUGAAUUGGAGCAAGGCCAAUGCCAGCUGCAGAGAGCAAGACGAAGAGCGCCCCCGGCAGAGCAGAGCAGAGAGCCUUACCUGAGCGAAGUCAGAAUGGAAGUCUGGGAAGACAAAGGUGAUGGGGUCAGUUUGUCCUCACUUAGCAAGACUGCCUCUCCCUGUUGCAGGGAUUCAUGAAAUCGACGGAUAUUCUGCACAUGUUCUUCAUGGCGUGAUGCCUGGCUUCUUGCAGCAGUGCUUCUGUCAGGAGUAAAUGGGAGCAAAAUAAAUUCCCAAUAAUCACAAAUCACCCUCCUGAAAUGGUACUGUAAAUUGAUUUUCACUACCACAGUUCUGGCUUCAUUGACUUUGCUUGAAUUACAACUGUCUCCCAAUAAUCUUGCCUUCAGUCUUACUCAUUGCCUUUUAAUAAA